rnacentral:rRNA from 1 species
UACGUAGGGGGCAAGCGUUAUCCGGAUUUACUGGGUGUAAAGGAGCGUAGACGGAAUAGCAAGUCUGAUGUGAAAACCCGGGGCUCAACUCCGGGAGUGCAUUGGAAACUGUUGAUCUAGAGUGUCGGAGAGGCAAGCGGAAUUCCUAGUGUAGCGGUGAAAUGCGUAGAUAUUAGGAGGAACACCAGUGGCGAAGGCGGCUUGCUGGACGAUGACUGACGUUGAGGCUCGAAAGCGUGGGGAGCAAACAGG